rnacentral:lncRNA from 10 species
GCUAGAGUGCAGUGGCAUGAUCAUGGCUCACUGCAGCCUUGGAUUCCUGGCCUUUUAAGUGAUCCUCCUGCCUCAGCCUCCUGAGUAGCUAGGACUACAGGUGCAUGCCACCAUGCCCAGCUAACUUCUUUUAUUUUUUUUUUAUUUUUGAGAUGAAGUCUCACUCUGUCGCCCAGACUGGAGUGCAGUGGUGCAAAAUCUUGGCUCACUGCAACCUCUGCCUCCCUGCAACUUCUGCCUCCCGGGUUCAAGCAAUUCUCCUGCCUCAGCCUCUUGAGUAGCUGAGAUUAUAGGCACUUGCCACCAUGGCUGGCUAAUUUUUUUUUUUUUUUUCGUAUUUUUAGUAUAGACAGGAUUUCCACAUGUCGCCCAGGCUGAUCUCAGACUCCUGACCUGGAUCUUCCCACCUCAGCCACUGAACGUGCUGGGAUUACAGCUUAAAUAGGUCUACUUGAAGUUCACAACUGCCAAAACCGCGUGUUCAGACUGAAAGGCUGGGAGCAUUUCAGACGCAUUUAUGAACUUCCACCAAGAUGAUCCGGCAGGCUGAAAUCGCAGGGAGAGCGUCUGUUCAACAAACCCUUUCUUCUUGAUUGAAUUAGUGUUACCCACUAACAGGAUGAGGAAUUCCCACUCCACAAGCUGACUUUUUUUCCUCUUUCCACCUCCCGCCUCCCUCCAUUAAAAUGUAAACUUGAUUCCUGUGUCCUUUGCCGGAGCCUGGCU